rnacentral:rRNA from 1 species
UACGGAGGGUGCGAGCGUUGUCCGGAAUCAUUGGGCGUAAAGGGCGCGUAGGUGGCGGGACAAGCGUGCGGUGAAAGCUCGGGGCUCAACCCCGAGUCGGCCGUGCGAACUGUCUUGCUUGAGCACUGCAGAGGCAGGCGGAAUUCCGGGUGUAGCGGUGGAAUGCGUAGAGAUCCGGAAGAACACCGGUGGCGAAGGCGGCCUGCUGGGCAGUUGCUGACACUGAUGCGCGACAGCGUGGGGAGCAAACAGG